CUCAAUUUUCCAAUUUUGCACAGCCUUGAUAAUGGUUCUUUUUUAGGGUUCUCCUCUGAUUUGAAAUUUGAGAGGCUCUGACAGGAUUCGAAUACAACUGGUGUGAGAUUUGUGAUGAGGGCGGUCUAGUUGUUGGCUGGUGUGAUUUUGGGAGCGAUUGGGUGAACUAGGUUUUUUGGCUCGAAUCUUCGAUUAAAGAUUCAAGAAGACGGAUGAUGAUUCGAGGUUAAUGGGUAAGGGAUUCGUGUUGAGGAUGAUGAGGAGGUUAAGGGGUGUUAGUUUGGUGGUGGUCGGAACUCAGGCUGCCGGGUUUCAAGCUUCGGGUUUCCAUGGCGGCUGCUAGGGUUUGGGUGAGCCUGGUUUGUUUUUGAGAGAGACGAUGGAGAGUGAGGGUUGGCUAUGGGUCGUGGGGUAUGAGAUAGGGUUUAUAUACGGGGGUGGACAUUAGAUCCUGACUGUUGGAUAAAGUUGGAUUGAUGUCC
rnacentral:lncRNA from 1 species